UACAGAGGUCUCAAGCGUUGUUCGGAUUCAUUGGGCGUAAAGGGUGCGUAGGUGGCGCGGUAAGUCGGGUGUGAAAUUUCGGAGCUUAACUCCGAAACUGCAUUCGAUACUGCCGUGCUUGAGGACUGGAGAGGAGACUGGAAUUUACGGUGUAGCAGUGAAAUGCGUAGAGAUCGUAAGGAAGACCAGUGGCGAAGGCGGGUCUCUGGGCCGUAACUGACGCUGAGGAGCGAAAGCGUGGGGAGCGAACAGG
rnacentral:rRNA from 1 species